rnacentral:rRNA from 1 species
UGGCGGCAUGCCUUACACAUGCAAGUCGAACGGCAGCACGGGAGCAAUCCUGGUGGCGAGUGGCGAACGGGUGAGUAAUAUAUCGGAACGUGCCCAGUCGUGGGGGAUAACGUAGCGAAAGCUACGCUAAUACCGCAUACGAUCUACGGAUGAAAGCGGGGGAUCGCAAGACCUCGCGCGAUUGGGAGCGGCCGAUAUCAGAUUAGGUAGUUGGUGAGGUAAAGGCUCACCAAGCCGACGAUCUGUAGCUGGUCUGAGAGGACGACCAGCCACACUGGGACUGAGACACGGCCCAGACUCCUACGGGAGGCAGCAGUGGGGAAUUUUGGACAAUGGGCGCAAGCCUGAUCCAGCAAUGCCGCGUGCAGGAUGAAGGCCUUCGGGUUGUAAACUGCUUUUGUACGGAACGAAACGGUGAGCUCUAAUACAGUUUGCUAAUGACGGUACCGUAAGAAUAAGCACCGGCUAACUACGUG